AGAACUCAGAUCUGGAAAAUGGACAUCUGGAUUGUUAGGUUGGCAUAAUUAAUUGCAAAUCAUUUUUCUUUAUUUUUCUGCAGGCAAUUAAAGAAUUAAACAUCAAAACCAAGAAUUAGAAGGAGCUUCUCACUGAUGAAACAUUCACUAGGGCAGAUCUUAUAACAAUUCAGAGGCUUCUGACUGAUGAAUCACCACGUCUGAGUGCUUUACGCUACACAAUAUAUGGAAAAUCUGAAGUUUGUGAUGUUGAAAGAUUCAUAGAUGUUAUGCAAGUCUUUGAGAAUUUCAUAACUGCAGCCAAAAGUGGAGGUGGUGAGGAUCUGAACGGGGAUAUGGCUGAGUUUGGUAUUCUGCAAAUUCAAAGAAGCAAUGUCCCCGUAUUUCCAUUUCCAUUUGGUUCAUCUCAAUCAGAGUAGCCAAUUCAAACAAGAGCAGCCUUGGCAUUUCUAUUAUCAGAGAAGGGGAACUUUUUUCGAGAAUUUCUUUUGUAUGAGGUUCUUGGGGUUGAACGGAAUGCAAGUCAACGUGAAAUUCAGAAAGCUUUUCACAAGUAUGUUUUCUCUAUAAUAUUAUUCCUGUUAUCCUAUAAUACUCGACCUUUAAUCAUAUUAUGGUUUUGCAUCUGAUAUCUUUCAGUAUAUUAUUUAGGAAGAUGUUAUUUGUUUCAUUCUUAUAUAUGGUAAUAAACUUCAAUUAUUUUUCCCUAUUUAUGCCGGUCAUAUUGACAUCUUUGGUUUACGAGAAGCAACAAAAGCUUAGAAUCAUGAUGAAAAUGCAUAGGCUUGGCGACGACCCUUAUUGGAUGAUUACUUAUACUUAUUUUCUUGUCAUAUAUUUGGCCUACAUGUUAUGUUUUGUGUUAUUUGGCUCAGUUAUAGGUAA